rnacentral:rRNA from 1 species
AGCCGAGCGGUAGAGAUUCUUCGGAAUCUUGAGAGCGGCGUACGGGUGCGGAACACGUGUGCAACCUACCUUUAUCAGGGGGAUAGCCUUUCGAAAGGAAGAUUAAUACCCCAUAAUAUAUUGAAUGGCAUCAUUUAAUAUUGAAAACUCCGGUGGAUAGAGAUGGGCACGCGCAAGAUUAGAUAGUUGGUAGGGUAACGGCCUACCAAGUCAAUGAUCUUUAGGGGGCCUGAGAGGGUGAUCCCCCACACUGGUACUGAGACACGGACCAGACUCCUACGGGAGGCAGCAGUGAGGAAUAUUGGACAAUGGGUGAGAGCCUGAUCCAGCCAUCCCGCGUGAAGGACGACGGCCCUAUGGGUUGUAAACUUCUUUUGUAUAGGGAUAAACCUACUCUCGUGAGAGUAGCUGAAGGUACUAUACGAAUAAGCACCGGCUAACUCCGUGCCAGCAGCCGCGGUAAUACGGAGGGUGCAAGCGUUAUCCGGAUUUAUUGGGUUUAAAGGGUCCGUAGGCGGAUCUGUAAGUCAGUGGUGAAAUCUCAUAGCUUAACUAUGAAACUGCCAUUGAUACUGCAGGUCUUGAGUAAAGUAGAAGUGGCUGGAAUAAGUAGUGUAGCGGUGAAAUGCAUAGAUAUUACUUAGAACACCAAUUGCGAAGGCAGGUCACUAUGUUUUAACUGACGCUGAUGGACGAAAGCGUGGGGAGCGAACAGGAUUAGAUACCCUGGUAGUCCACGCCGUAAACGAUGCUAACUCGUUUUUGGGUCUUCGGAUUCAGAGACUAAGCGAAAGUGAUAAGUUAGCCACCUGGGGAGUACGUUCGCAAGAAUGAAACUCAAAGGAAUUGACGGGGGCCCGCACAAGCGGUGGAUUAUGUGGUUUAAUUCGAUGAUACGCGAGGAACCUUACCAAGGCUUAAAUGGGAAUUGACAGGUUUAGAAAUAGACUUUUCUUCGGACAAUUUUCAAGGUGCUGCAUGGUUGUCGUCAGCUCGUGCCGUGAGGUGUUAGGUUAAGUCCUGCAACGAGCGCAACCCCUGUCACUAGUUGCCAUCAUUCAGUUGGGGACUCUAGUGAGACUGCCUACGCAAGUAGAGAGGAAGGUGGGGAUGACGUCAAAUCAUCACGGCCCUUACGCCUUGGGCCACACACGUAAUACAAUGGCCAGUACAGAGGGCAGCUACCAGGCGACUGGAUGCGAAUCUCGAAAGCUGGUCUCAGUUCGGAUUGGAGUCUGCAACUCGACUCUAUGAAGCUGAAUCG